UUGUAGUUGCUUGGUAGUCGGUUGUUGUGUGCGAGUUAAACGUCAAUAAUAAAUAAAAUAAUAUGACAUUUCGUAUUCAGCACUUCAGCUUUAACGAAAUAAUGAGUUAAAUCUUUGAAAUACCCAAGCCGAAAGUCGGUUCCGCAGUGCCUGUUGACAUAUUUAAUAAUAUUGACGAGCGGACGAUGAUAUAAUAUAAUUUUUAUUAUUGCCUAGUCAAUUUAAAUUUUUAAUUAUUAGGAUAUGGGACAAUCGACGGUGCACCACCUUUGAUUAAUGUCCGUCACAAUAUGUUUAAUUUGAUGGCAUAAAAUAUAUCGAAAAACAACCAUGAUAUCAGAAAUUAAUGCAGCUAUUGAACAAAAUGAUUUCCAACGAGUAAAAGUCUUAGUUGAAGCUAUCAUCGAACAACAUACAAAUACAUUUAAUUUUGACACCUAUCAUGCUGACAAUACUUUCAAACGGUUAUGGGACUCUAUGUUCCUAUGUUUGGCGGCGGACAGUUACAAAUGUAUUCACAAACAAUGUUUAACAUGCAUUCGGCUUCUGAG